CUCUAAUCCUGUUGUGGAACCCGUUACUGAGCAUAUUUAAGAGCUGGUGUUUGUUCUGAAUUUCUUCACAGGGAGACUGACACUGAGAAAGAAGAUAAUUCUACGGCAGGUGUGCUACAGAUUGACUUUUUCAUCUUUCCUUUCUUUAAAGUACUUAGACAAUUUGAUCCUACAGCAGUAUAAAUAACAGAUCUGUGUCUUUGUGAAAGGUUAUUAUCAUCUUUAACAUCUCCACCAUGAGGAUUCUUACUGUGUCUUUGGUUAUUUGUGUGUUGAUGGUUCUGACCAGAGCUGCAGGAGAGGAAGAUCAACCUCAGCCAGAUCAACCUUUGGAAGGUUCUGCAGAUGGAGACGUUUCAAUAUCACCAAUUCCAGGUUGGAUUUUGUUUUUCCAUUUUUGGUUUUACAUUAUCAUAUACAUCAUACUUUGGCUAAAUGUUCUCUAA
rnacentral:lncRNA from 1 species